rnacentral:rRNA from 1 species
AUUGAACGCUGGCGGCAGGCCUAACACAUGCAAGUCGAACGAGCGGCGGACGGGUGAGUAAUGUCUGGGAAACUGCCUGAUGGAGGGGGAUAACUACUGGAAACGGUAGCUAAUACCGCAUACCAUCAGAUGUGCCCAGAUGGGAUUAGCUAGUAGGUGGGGUAAUGGCUCACCAAGGCGACGAUCCCUAGCUGGUCUGAGAGGAUGACCAGCAAAACUGGAACGGAGACACGGUCCAGACUCCUACGGGAGGCAGCAGUGGGGAAUAUGGCACAAUGGGCGAAAGCCUGAUGGAGCCAUGCCGCGUGAGUGAAGAAGGCCUUCGGGUUGUAAAGCACUUUCAGCGAGGAGGCGUUACUCGCAGAAGAAGCACCGGCUAACUCCGUGCCAGCAGCCGCGGUAAUAC